GUGGGGAAUCUUAGACAAUGGGGGAAACCCUGAUCUAGCCAUGCCGCGUGAGCGAUGAAGGCCUUAGGGUUGUAAAGCUCUUUCAGCUGGGAAGAUAAUGACGGUACCAGCAGAAGAAGCCCCGGCUAACUCCGUGCCAGCAGCCGCGGUAAUACGGAGGGGGCUAGCGUUGUUCGGAAUUACUGGGCGUAAAGCGCGCGUAGGCGGACCAGAAAGUUGGAGGUGAAAUCCCAGGGCUCAACCGUGGAACUGCCUUCAAAACUCCUGGUCUGGAGUUCGAGAGAGGUGAGUGGAAUUGCGAGUGUAGAGGUGGACUUCUUAGAUAUUCGGGGGAACACCAGUGGCGAAGGCGGCUCACUGGCUCGAUACUGACGCUGAGGUGCGAAAGCGUGGGGAGCAAACAGGAUUAGAAACCCCUGUAGUCC
rnacentral:rRNA from 1 species